rnacentral:rRNA from 1 species
AUCGAACGCUGGCGGCAGGCCUAACACAUGCAAGUCGAACGAGUGGCGGACGGGUGAGUAGUGUCUGGGAAACUGCCCGAUGGAGGGGGAUGACUACUGGAAACGGUAGCUAAUACCGCAUACCAUCCGAUGUGGCGGGGUGGGAUUAGCUAGUAGGUGGGGUAACGGCUCACCUAGGCGACGAUCCCUAGCUGGGCUGAGAGGCUGACCAGCCACACUGGAACUGAGACACGGUCCAGACUCCUACGGGAGGCAGCAGUGGGGAAUCUUCGGCAAUGGGCGCAAGCCUGAUGCAGCCAUGCCGCGUGUGUGAAGAAGGCCUUCGGGUUGUAAAGUUCUUUCAGCGAGGAGGCGUUACUCGCAGAAGAAGCACCGGCUAACUCCGUGCCAGCAGCCGCGGUAAUUC